rnacentral:rRNA from 1 species
GAUGAACGCUGGCGGCGUGCCUAAUACAUGCAAGUCGAGCGAACGGACGAGAAGCUUGCUUCUCUGAUGUUAGCGGCGGACGGGUGAGUAACACGUGGAUAACCUACCUAUAAGACUGGGAUAACUUCGGGAAACCGGAGCUAAUACCGGAUAAUAUUUUGAACCGCAUGGUUCAAAAGUGAAAGACGGUCUUGCUGUCACUUAUAGAUGGAUCCGCGCUGCAUUAGCUAGUUGGUAAGGUAACGGCUUACCAAGGCAACGAUGCAUGGCCGACCUGAGAGGGUGAUCGGCCACACUGGAACUGAGACACGGUCCAGACUCCUACGGGAGGCAGCAGUAGGGAAUCUUCCGCAAUGGGCGAAAGCCUGACGGAGCAACGCCGCGUGAGUGAUGAAGGUCUUCGGAUCGUAAAACUCUGUUAUUAGGGAAGAACAUAUGUGUAAGAAACUGUGCACAUCUUGACGGUACCUAAUCAGAAAGCCACGGCUAACUACGUG